AUUGAACGCUAGCGGCAGGCCUAACACAUGCAAGUCGAGCGGAUGACGGGAGCUUGCUCCUUGAUUCAGCGGCGGACGGGUGAGUAAUGCCUAGGAAUCUGCCUGGUAGUGGGGGACAACGUUUCGAAAGGAACGCUAAUACCGCAUACGUCCUACGGGAGAAAGCAGGGGACCCUCGGGCCUUGCGCUAUCAGAUGAGCCUAGGUAGGAUUAGCUAGUUGGUGGGGUAAUGGCUCACCAAGGCGACGAUCCGUAACUGGUCUGAGAGGAUGAUCAGUCACACUGGAACUGAGACACGGUCCAGACUCCUACGGGAGGCAGCAGUGGGGAAUAUUGGACAAGGGGCGAAAGCCUGAUCCAGCCAUGCCGCGUGUGUGAAGAAGGUCUUCGGAUUGUAAAGCACUUUAAGUUGGGAGGAAGGGCAGUAAGUUAAUACCUUGCUGUUUUGACGUUACCGACAGAAUAAGCACCGGCUAACUCUGUGCCAGCCGCCGCAGUAAAAC
rnacentral:rRNA from 1 species